GAGUAGGGAGUUGGAGAGGGGGGCUCAAGCUUUAAAGACGAGACAAGAGAAGAAGAGAGAACGGUGUGACACAGGAGGAAGAAAGUGAGAUGCAGAAAUUGGUGCUGUGCUGACAGACGGAGAACAAGCCAGGCCCGUGUCUUUGAUCUGGUAGUUGAUAAGAAACCGAAACGGGAAAGUGUAAGCUCACAUGGUACAGCAAGAAUCCUACGUAUCUUCUGGAAGAAUUUUUUUUCUUACACAUUGCACAGUGCACGUGGCGUCUUUUUAUUGCCGAUGAGAAUGAUGUUGAAUGAGUUUUCAUGCAUGCUGAAACGGUAUUUUCUUUUGUCCAUAUUUAAUAUGGGUCUUGCACGUGAGAAUCCAUGUGGUUGGGUUCUGGUCUAUGCUAGCAUAUUGAGCAAUGAAAACUGUAAUGAAAAACACGUAACAAAGUAAAGUGUGUGAGCUGCGUGCCUGCAAUAAUCCCAUGAGGGGGAGAGGAGGCAGAGUAGGGAGAUGGAUAGAGGGGGGCCUUAGGCUUUAAAGAUGAGAUAGGAGGAGAAACAAAGAAUGGUGUGACAAUGUAUCAUGAGCUUCCUUUGGGAUUUCAGAUUUCGGGCAUGGUAUUAGUUCCUGCCGUCGCCAUCCUUGAAAAAUGCGUUCCCUAACAAUGUAUUUUCUAAUUUUUGCCCUUCUACAGUCCAACCAUCUUUUAUACGCAUCCCUUUUGUAGAACUUCCCAUAGUAGUAUGAAAGCACAUCACCAACGGUCUUUGUGCCCAGAAACCAGCUCAGCAGGUUGAAAUUUUUCCCAAAAAUAUAGAACCCAAGGAGAAACAGCGCUGCCUCAAGAUCAGUCCAAAGGGCAAUGUGUGAAUAAGGCAGAGGAUUUAAUUGUUCGGUUCCUAUC
rnacentral:lncRNA from 1 species